rnacentral:rRNA from 1 species
UACGGGGGGGGCAAGCGUUGUUCGGAAUUACUGGGCGUAAAGGGCUCGUAGGUGGCCAACUAAGUCAGACGUGAAAUCCCUCGGCUUAACCGGGGAACUGCGUCUGAUACUGGAUGGCUUGAGUUCGGGAGAGGGAUGCGGAAUUCCAGGUGUAGCGGUGAAAUGCGUAGAGAUGUGGAGGAACACCGAUGGCGAAGGCAGCCCCCUGGGUCAAGAUUGACGCUCAUGCACGAAAGCGUGGGGAGCAAACAGG